GAUGAACGCUAGCUACAGGCUUAACACAUGCAAGUCGAGGGGAAACGACAUCGAAAGCUUGCUUUUGAUGGGCGUCGACCGGCGCACGGGUGAGUAACGCGUAUCCAACCUGCCCACCACUUGGGGAUAACCUUGCGAAAGUAAGACUAAUACCCAAUGAUAUCUCUAGAAGACAUCUGAAAGAGAUUAAAGAUUUAUCGGUGAUGGAUGGGGAUGCGUCUGAUUAGCUUGUUGGCGGGGUAACGGCCCACCAAGGCAACGAUCAGUAGGGGUUCUGAGAGGCAGGUCCCCCACAUUGGAACUGCGGCACGGUCCAAACUCCUACGGGAGGCAGCAGUAAGGAAUAUUGGUCAAUGGACGAGAGUCUGAACCAGCCAAGUAGCGUGCAGGAAGCCGGCCAUAUGGGUUGUAAACUGCUUUUAUAAGGGAAUAAAGUGAGUCUCGUGAGACUUUUUGCAUGUACCUUAUGAAUAAGGACCGGCUAAUUCCGUG
rnacentral:rRNA from 1 species